ACGAACGCUGGCGGCGUGCCUAACACAUGCCAGUCGAACGGAAAGGCCCUGCUUUUGUGGGGUGCUCGGGUGGCGAACGGGUGAGUAACACGUGAGUAACCUGCCCUUGACUUUGGGAUAACUUCAGGAAACUGGGGCUAAUACCGGAUAGGAGCUCCUGCUGCCUGGUGGGGGUUGGAAAGUUUCGGCGGUUGGGGAUGGACUCGCGGCUUAUCAGCUUGUUGGUGGGGUAGUGGCUUACCAAGGCUUUGACGGGUAGCCGGCCUGAGAGGGUGACCGGCCACAUUGGGACUGAGAUACGGCCCAGACUCCUACGGGAGGCAGCAGUGGGGAAUAUUGCACAAUGGGCGGAAGCCUGAUGCAGCAACGCCGCGUGCGGGAUGACGGCCUUCGGGUUGUAAACCGCUUUCGCCUGUGACGAAGCGUGAGUGACGGUAAUGGGUAAAGAAGCACCGGCUAACUACGUG
rnacentral:rRNA from 1 species